CAGACAACUGUUGACACUGCAACCCAAGUGGCACCAUGUUCAAGUGAGGAACCAUAUUCUGACAUACGGCCAAUUAGAUCUGUUCCAAGGGAGAGGUCAAAGAGAUGUUGACAACGAGAACAGAAGGCAUUAAU